rnacentral:lncRNA from 1 species
GCUUAGUGUGGGUUCGUUCAUUCAGUCAAGAUCUAAAAUUUCUGGAAUUACUAUUCCUUGAAGCAGACACAAAAAUGAACUUGAUGCCACUUUGGGAGAAGUGCCACCUUGGAGAGACAGUGCACGUGAGAACGAUGGGAAAAGAAGCAGCAGCCUCUGCUCUUGACAUAACUACAGUUCCACAGCCACCUCUCCAUCUGGCUCAGCAGGCAGUCUCUGUUCAACGGGGGCCCACGGCAUCAGUACUGGCGUUCGGCAGGUCAGAAGCGAGACGUGUUGGCAGAGCCGUGCUGGCCUCGAAGAGUAUUUACACAUGAGGACCGAGUGGAUUGGCGUUACUGUGCACAGCAAAAAUCACCCUUUCUCUGGCUUGGCUGGCUUUAACCAGUCCAUCACCCGUGUGCUGAGGCUGGUAGAGGUUGGCUCUGUGGCGGUAGGAGGAUGAGGGCUGGGACUGGCAGGCGGGAGCAUUAAUGAUUGUAAUCCUGUUGCACUGACUCAUUCGGUGACCUCAGGUUAAUCACUCGACCUUCUCUUGCAGUCAGCUGCAGCUGUGAAAAUGGGCAAAAGCAAUACUUCAUCAGCCUCCAGAUGCUGAAUCUGAACUGUUUUCCUGGGGAAGCAGCUCCUACAGAGCGUUCGUUUCUAUCAUAAGUUAGAAGAAAAAUGGACAAAAGUGGAUAGUUAACUUGUCAGUAGUUCGUUAGGGAGUUGUCCCCAUCAGAAUGUGGGAUUGGCGGUAUUGCAAUGUACACACUUACAAUAAUGUAUGUUCGACUUUGUUUUCCUAACUGUAAUGUUCUGAAAAGUGACAUGUGAGGUGUUUUUCAUUCGAACCUUCUCCAAAAAGAGAAUUAUGCAGAGCAAAAAGUUAUAAAACACUUCUAUUUGACAUCUACAUGUAUGUUCCUGUGUUUAAACCAUAAUAUAUCCUUAUAUGAAAGCUUGUGUAUUUUAUUUAUGGAUAUUUGAAAUUAGUUACUCAUGUGCCAUGGGGGACAAUGAAUAUCGAAGGCUUCGAGCCAAUACAAGAAUUUUCUGUAAUGUGAAGGAAGGCUUCUUUGUUUCGGUUCUGAAGGAUUUUUAAAUAAUUGUGGUUUGGAAAACCCAGUGCACGUUGAGCCCGUUGCUGUGUUUUAACUGUGGAAUUGAUUUCCAAAUGGGAGCACAUAAAUUGGCAGAUGGACUCUGGCAUUUCAAUGAUUAAACGGUCCUUCCAGAGGGCUGAGAUGUAAGAUGGAGACAACUUGUAUAUAGGUCUAGAACUUGGCAUAUGCAUUGGGAUGAAGACAUGCUAGAAAAAUUGAGGUUAAGGGACAAAAUAAUCUGUGUUCACAAUAACCUGAAACCCUGACUGUGAAUUUAGUUUGGAUCCAAAUUCACCUUUAACAAACACCCUAAAAGCGCAGCAUGCAGUGCGGCUUGGUUGGGGCUUAUUGUCAUUUUUGACUGGAUGUUUUUGUGUAAAGACUGCAACAAGAGAAACGUUUCCCCUUUAGAAAGUAUUGUCUCUGAAGUUGUAUGUAGCGUUGCAUGGUGUUGUGGUUUCUCACAGGGAUUUUUUUACAUGGUACGUAAUACUUGUUAACAGUCACAUGAUAUCCAUCCAGUUGGUAAGAGUGCAAGUCAGGGCUAUCCCCUCAGGCAGACUUCAUUUAAACACUCUUCUUUGUGCCAAAUUUCCAGGCAUUUUUCUCUUCUAAUGAAUGCAUGUGCUCUAGAAGGGAGACCUUUGUAGCCCUUCUCUCCCCUUCCCCCAGUUCUGCACCGAUUUCAGGGCUGUGGGUUGCAAGGGGCUUUUACUCAAAGGUUGCUCUGAAGAGUUACAGAAAACUGUCAAAAUGAUUAAGAGUCUGAAAUUCUAUAUUACGGUAAUGUUUUUAAAGCAUUUCAUUCAACAGACAAUAUAACAUGAAAUAUAACAAAAAAUCAAAUACCUGGCUCUUACAUACCCCUUCCUGAGGAGCUGCUGUCACUUUCCUGAAAGCAAAUAUUUUGAGAAGUGUGUCUAGCUCUGCAACGUGAGGAAAAAAUGCGAAAUAGUCUGUGCUGGUGUCAAAUCAUUUUUUAAUAAAC